UAAGAAUUAGUUAAAAAAUAAUAUUAAAAUGUCAUUUUAAAGUUAUUAAUUAAUUUUAAUAUUCUUAA
rnacentral:tRNA from 1 species